rnacentral:lncRNA from 1 species
GCGUAGAGAUCAAGAUCCUCCUACAUCUUCUUGUUCUCUAAGAGUGUCUUAGGAGAAAAGAAGAUUUUCAACCAUCAAGAUGCGAUCUCUGUAAGGGAGCUAGCUCCCCGAUGUGAUCAAAAGAUUUCUGAUCAGAUUAGAGUCUCGUGUGGAUACCCAUAGAGGUCGGAUGCUUAUGCGGCUACAAGGGACCUUCAAAGAAUAUCUAUGAUCAUCUGUUCACGUUGAAGAUUGAUUCAUGUCCAGGUAUGUUUUAAAUUUAUUUUUUUAUUUAAUUUAUGUAUCUAAAUCUUAUCUCACAUAUGAUGAUCCUGUUUAUGGUUUGAAGAUAUGAUCUUAUGCAUGCUUAGAUUAAAUUAGAUUUAAUCUAAAUU